AUUGAACGCUGGCGGCAGGCCUAACACAUGCAAGUCGAACGAGAGGCGGACGGGUGAGUAAUGUCUGGGCAACUGCCUGAUGGACGGGGAUAACUACUGGAAACGGUAGCUACUACCGCAUACCAUCAGAUGUGCCCAGAUGGGAUUAGCUAGUGGGUGGGGUAACGGCUCACCCAGGCGACGAUCCCUAGCUGGUCCGCGAGGAUGACCAGCCACACUGGAACGGAGACACGGUCCAGACUCCUACGGGAGGCAGCAGUGGGGAAUAUUGCACAAUGGGCGCAAGUCUGAUGCAGCCAUGCCGCGUGGAUGAAGAAGGCUUUCGGGUUGUAAAGCACUGUCAGCGGGGAGGCGUUACCCGCAGAAGAAGCACCGGCUAACUCCGUGCCAGCAGCCGCGGUAAUUC
rnacentral:rRNA from 1 species